rnacentral:pre_miRNA from 1 species
UAUUAAAAAUUUCAUAAAUUUUCAUUGUUAAAAAUUGGUGUGGUUAAAAAAUUAACCAGAAGUCACGUGUACCUCAUUCUGACAUAUAAUGGCCAGUUUUUAAUGUAGAAAUGGAUAAUUUUUUUAACA